rnacentral:rRNA from 1 species
GAUGAACGCUGGCGGCGUGCCUAAUACAUGCAAGUCGAGCGAACGGACGAGAAGCUUGCUUCUCUGAUGUUAGCGGCGGACGGGUGAGUAACACGUGGAUACCCUACCUAUAAGACUGGGAUAACUUCGGGAAACCGGAGCUAAUACCGGAUAAUAUUUUGAACCGCAUGGUUCAAAAGUGAAAGACGGUCUUGCUGUCACUUAUAGCUGGAUCCGCGCUGCAUUAGCUAGUUGGUAAGGUAACGGCUUACCAAGGCAACGAUGCAUAGCCGACCGGAGAGGGUGAUCGGCCACACUGGAACUGAGACACGGUCCAGACUCCUACGGGAGGCAGCAGUAGGGAAUCUUCCGCAAUGGGCGAAAGCCUGACGGAGCAACGCCGCGUGAGUGAUGAAGGUCUUCGGAUCGUAAAACUCUGUUAUUAGGGAAGAACAUAUGUGUAAGUAACUGUGCACAUCUUGACGGUACCUAAUCAGAAAGCCACGGCUAACUACGUG